GUAGGGAGGUGGUGAGUGUAGGGAGUGGUGAGUGUAGGGAGGUGGUGAGUGUAGGGAGGUGGUGAGUGUAGGGAGGUGGUGAGUGGUGAGUGUAGGGAGGUGGUGAGUGGUGAGUGUAGGGAGGUGGUGAGUGGUGAGUGUAGGGAGGUGGUGAGUGGUGGGUGUAGGGAGGUGGUGAGUGGUGAGUAUAGGGAGCUGGUGAGUGUAGGGAGGUGGUGAGUGUAGGGAGGUGGUGAGUGUAGGGAGAUGGUGAGUGUAGGGAGGUGAUGAGUGUAGGGAGGUGGUGAGUGUAGGAGGUGGUCAAUGUAGGGAGGUGGUGAGUGUAGGGAGGUGGUGAGUGGUGAGUGUAGGGAGGUGGUGAGUGUAGGGAGGUGGUGAGUGUAGGGAGGUGG
ensembl:lncRNA